GUACACAUGUGGGUGUUUAUGUGUCACAGUGUUUAUGUGGCGGUUAGAGGAGAACUCGUGGCGCUCAGUUCUCCCCCUCUACAUUUAUGUUGGUUCUGAAGAUCAAAGAUAGGUUGUCAAGCUUGGGAUCGAGUGGCCUUACCUGCGGGCCAUCUUGCCAGUCACCCUGUUUAUUUGGGUUUUGAGAGAAGGUACAAAUCCCAGGCUGGCAUUGAACUUAUGAUCUCCUGGCUUUGGUCUCCCAACUGCUGUGGUUACAGGUGUGCCCCGCCAUGCCCAGCUUUCCUGGUUAAUUUUUAAAACCUUUAGUUCAAUCAAACAUGUUUUCAGCUGGAGGCAUAACUCAGCUGGUAGAGUGCUUGCCUAGAAAGGGCCAGGGCAGACAUUGUCCCCAGGCUUCCUCCCAUGCUCUGCAGAUCUCUUGUUCUUUAUUGUCUUCAGUGGGGACAGGUGUGGUCAGAUGGUCUGACAUCCUUUCAGUCAUGAUUACAGGAUUGCACUGAGAUGUGAUCACAGUAUGAGUCAUCAUAAGAUAUUCUGGAUGCAAUCAGUGGUCAUUUUUGUUCACUAGAAGCUUAGGCACUGAAUCUCAGGCAUGGACAUUGGCACUCCUGGGCUGGGGCCUUGUCAUAUCUUGCUCGCUCUGGUUUCUGGAAUGGGAGAAAGUUUUGGAGGGAGAAAGAAGCUUCGGGAAGUAAUCCCUGUGUUCCAGUGGGACUGGAAAUCCUGCUGCAAGGCCUGGAAUUUUGACUUCCUGUUUGGCCUGGCACUUGUUCCCCCACAUUUUUGGCCCUGACACAUCCUCUUCCUCCCCCUCUCAGGAUGUUUCCUCAUCUGCAAAAUGAGGGGGUUGUAUUAGAUCAUAUCUCAGGCCCCUUUAAGUUUGAAAAAGUGAUGAUUCUGCCUCCCAGCCACCCCCUCACUCUUCCCCCAGGCCUUUUGAUUGACAGUGAGAAGAUGAGGAAGAAUGUGUGUUCUAUAGCUCCAGCUCCCAACAAAGAAUGAUCUAGUCCAACAGAUCAAUGGUACCGAGGCUGAGAAAACCCUGUUUAGGGAAGGAGGGACAGAGGAGUGGCCAAGAUCGGAAAGGCAAGUGUGUAAAGACUCUCCAGAUAAUGGACAAAUGACAAGGAAAAAAAAAAAAAAGAAUAAAAGCGAAGAAGACAGAUGCAUGGUCAAGGCUUAUAAAGGCGAGAACAGGAGUUGCUGGAAUGGGAUGGAUGUGUUGGCAACAUGCUCACAGUCUGGGUGAAUAGAUUUUAAGCUGCCGGCCUCAGAACAAACCAGUGCUGAGAGGUGCUACAGUUUGCAUGUUUAAUGCUUCCUGAGAAAGGGUUCAUGGGUUAAAGGCUUGGGCCCCAGGGUGCCAUUGGAAAGUGGUGGAGCCUUUAGGAAGUGAAGCCUGGUAGGAGAGACUUAGGGCAUUAGGGGUGUGCCCUCCAAGGGGAUUGUGGGACCUUAGCCACUACCUCUUUUUCUCUGCUUCCUGGCCACAAGCUGAGUGCUCAUUCAGUCUCCUGUGGCUGUAACUGGCCUGGCAGAAAUGAAGGUGUCUCGUGUCUCCCCAUCUGACUGUCAGGCUACUGAAACAGUGGAUUCCAAAGAAAUGGGAAUUUCCCCAGAAUUCUCAUGCUGGGAGAAGGAAAGGGCACCAGCCAAGGGGGAACUUAUCUCCUGGACAGAGAUUUCAUACAGUUCUAACACCUUGUCAGACCACUUCACAGGAUGAGACUAAAACCCAGAUAAAGAUGGGUUCCUGGUGGGCGAGGUCACACCUUGAUAGGGACUGCUUAGAUGCGCUUAUCCGUGGCCCUCUAUCUAAAUUUUUAUCUCACUUCAGGACCCUGAGGAUGGACUUGGGGUUGGGGUUUGUGGGAUCUCUCUGUCCUUCUUCCCAAUGUGAUCACACUGAAUAAAACCCCCUCUCUGCUUUCUGCUUUCAAUUCGGCUCUUGCAAUUGGUUUGUUGGGGAUGGGUGACUGGACCUGUCAUGCACACAGGCUGUGAACCCCAGUUUGAUAACAGCCACCUGGCUCCAUCAAAGGCCCAAAGCAAGAGGUGUGUCAGAUCUUGACCAUGUUCUCCAAAAUGUGUGGUUUCAGAUAAGUAUUUCUCCUUAUAAAUAAAGAAAUUAUUUAUUUCAUUAUAGUAACAGAAAGCUGACCACACAAGGAGAUUAAUGCUAUCCCCCGCCUCUCGGCUUCCUGAUUCACUAUGGAAGAGCCACACCCUGUGAAGGGACCCUUCCUCUGGAAGUCAGCAGGGGUGGCUGUUGAUGCCAAGUGACUGUCUGAGGAUGAUAGACUGGGUGGUCCAGCCACUCAGGCCGUCGCUUCCCUAUGAGCUCUAUCAUGACAUCAGUCACAGUUUCUCUUGCUUUUUACUCAAAUAACAGCUCAGUUGUUAUUCCUAGAGUCAUACAAAGGAAGAUGAAGAGAAAUAAGAUACAUUGUAUCAUGUACCUAUAACCCCAGCUACUCAGGAGUCCUGAGAGACAAGGCUUGAACUUGGAGGCUAGCCUAGGCAACUUAGUGAGACCCUGUCUACAAAGGGGUAAGGAGGCAGCUCAAGGGUGGAAUACUUGAGUAGCCUGUGCAAUGCCCUGGGUUCCACCCGCAGCGCCCAGUGGGUGUGAGUGCCUGUAGAGGCCAGAAGAAGGUGUUGGAGCUCCCUAAAAUGGAGUUAUAGGCAGUUGUGAAUGACCUGACUUGGAUGCUAGGAGCCCAGUUCAGAUCCUCUGGAAGAAGAAGAAGCAGGCUUAGGCUCUGAGCCAUCUCUCCAGCCCUGAAAAUGAUUUCUUAAUGGCUAAGGCUAGAGGUGGCUGCUCUCUUCCUGGCUCACCUUUAUCUGCUGUUUGGAUGUUCUCUAGAACACAUUGUCCUCUUCUGAUCUUGGGCUCGUACAGGGCACCCAAAGGAUACACACCGGCUUUUUCACAGCUUCCGUUAAGUCUUUGCUGCAUGGAAACCACACAAGGAGGGCUGUAGCAGUGGCCAGGAAGAAAACUGCCCCCACUGGAAGUUGUUUUUGUGACUGUUCUUUGGAGCAUUGUUCUAAAAAUGGGAAAUUACAUCUUGCCAUGCCAAAGGAAACAAACACCUCAGUAAAAGGGACACCUUCCCUGAGGUGGCUUUUUGGAGCAUGAACAAUUGGAGCUACAGCCACUUCUGGAUGGAGGCUGUGGCAGAAGUUCGACCGGUGCUUUCUUUUCUUGCAAGGGAUGGGAUGUGGGCUUAUCUAUGCAACUAGGGUGGGCUGCGGCAGCUGUGGGUAUAGGUGACUGUCUACUUAUCCACCCAAUAAACAUUUGUCAAGCAUCA